GUCAUGACUCCUGCAUCUGACACCUGAGUUUGAGACUGAGUGAGUGUGUUUUGAUUUGAUUUUUCCCUUUGGGUGAGGGAGGCAUGCGUUGUGUGUUUUUGUUUGGUCUGUUUUUCUCUCCUCCUUUCUCUCAGUUAUUGAGUCCUGGGCGUGUCUGGCUUCCUGGGUUGGCACAAGCUGCACCUGCUUGUAAUCACACACCUGUUCCUGAUCAGCCAUCCCUACCCCUUCCUAAGGAGAGGCCAGACAUGCAUUCCCUGCUGAAUUGUUAAGUUGUGUGCUAUUGCCCAUUCAACCCGCUCAGCCUGCCUACCAGUUCCAAGCCUCUGGAGCCACUAAAAGAUCCAACCCUUCCAGCCACACUCCUGCCAGCCAUGCCAACCCAGCCCUCACACUUUCCAAGUGCUUGGAAGGAAACUCCCUGUGUCCUCACUCUGCCUUAGUUUACUCACUGCUUUUAUCAAUAAACUGUUUAAACUGC